ensembl:lncRNA
AUUGGAUGGAGCAGUUACAACUGUGCCAGAGCUGGCCACACUAUAUAACCUUUGCAUCAUCACCUCCAUCGCCCACCUGCCCCUCCACCACCACACACAGCCCCAGCCUCCUCUGGCUACACCUUGUUCUUGGUCACAUAGUUCUAGCACAUGGAAAUAAAUUGGAGGUAGCAGCAUACCUCUUCUUCCUAAGAUCAUCUCCAUCAUCUUGUGACCAAAGGAGAAAAUAACUCCCCAGCUGUCAGUGGCUUUCUCAGCUGCCAACACAAGAACCUGAGCAUACAGAGGAAUUAAGGACAGAGAGUCAACAUGCACAUUUCUGCUUAUACCACGUGGGCUUCUGCUGGUGGUCAUGAUGCAGCAAUGAAAAUCCAUUCCUCACUCAAAUGAAACUCAAUCUUCAGACAAGUCUUGAAUGAUUUACUACAACCUCAUAAAAAGUGUCAAAGAGAUCUGUAAAACAAGACCAGUUUGCCUACAUUCUUUAAAAAAAUGCUUCCCAGUGGUGCUAGUGGUAAAGAACCCACCUGGCAAUCCAGGAGACGUGAGCUCGAUCCCUGGGUCAGGAAGAUCCCCUGGAGAAGGAAAUGGCAACCCACUCUAGUAUUCUUGCCUAGAGGAUCCCCCGGACAGAGGAGCCUGGUGGGCUACAAUCCAUAGUGUUGCAGAGUCAGACAUGACUGAAGCACUCAACUACACAAACUCUUUUAGUGUCAUGAAAACUCAUAUUUUAAAAUCAAAUUAACUGUAUUUUUCUUUAUUUCAACUUCUAUACCUCAAAAAAGAUUCUAGUGCCUGAUUUUUCCUGAAUUUGGGAAUACUGCUUAAAUACUGAUGUGGUCAUUAAAAAAGAUUGCAAAGAAAAGUAACUAUAAUCAUAACCCUAUUGUAAUCUAAAAACAACUCAUGUCAGGAAGUACUGUGUGGCUGAAAUAUUUAGUCAUUGCCUCCUUGAUCAUGUCUAGCAAGAACUUGAAUAAAACUUACAAAGAACAGCAGUGACAUAAGCUUUUCAACUAUUUCAGUCUGAUUUCAAAUGUCCAUUGAGAGAUUUUUGCCCUCCCACCCACCCAAAUGGCAACCUACUCCAUUAUCCUUGCCUGGAGAAUUCUAUGGACAGAGGAGCCUGGUGACCCCCAGUCCAUGGGGUCUCAAAGAGUCAGGCAUGACUGAGCAACCAACAUAUCCACCCAAAAACACGGAACUGGUUGCAAAUUGGAGCAAAUGCUGACACAGAUUUGCAUUUUCCAGGGUUCUUCAAAGCACAAGUAAGAGCUCCAUGGCCUCCCACUGAGUGGCCAAAAAUAGCCAAUUUUCCAUGGUCCACUGGAAAGUUGGCAUUUAUCAGUGAGGGAAGCUUAUUCAUUAUGUAAGAGUACAUUCUGUAGAUAGUUUUUCAACUAUCCACAUAAAAUCCAGCCUAUGUGCCAAGGUCCCAGAGCUCAUCUUUCCCUGGUGUCCAGAGCAAUGAUGACCAGGUUGUGUUUUGAGCCUGCUUGAGGAUGGCUGAUUCACUCUAGCAUUUGCUCUGUGUAUUUUAAGAUAGACAGCCAGUAUAAUUCAAUAACUCUUCCUGGUCCUGGCUUUGGAAGUGUGCAGACAGCAGAUUUCAUUUUGUCCAUUAGUUCAAACCUGUCAUGUUCAAACACCUUCAGCCACCCUCUAGAGAGCAGUGCUGUCCAAAAGAACUUUCUGUAAUGAUGGAUGUGUUCAUCUAAGUGUGAUCUGAAGAGCUCGGGUGUGCUUCCCUACCCCAUCCCACGCACUUCACCUCCCAGAGCAGAAAUGUCUACCACUGCUGCCAGGAAUCAUCUUUAUCAGGCCCCCUUUGGUGAGGGCUGAAAAGUUAAAAUAGCAACCAGACAGGGAAAGAAUGAAGAAACAGAUUUCUGGUGACAAGGGUUCUAGAGUUGUUCUGCCCAAUAUGGUAGCUUCUGGUCACAGGUGGCUAUUAUAACUUUUAUUGACUUAAGUGAAAAAUUCAGCUCCUCACUGGACACAUUACAAGGGCUCAAUAGCCACAUGAGUUAGUGGCUACUGUUUUGGACAGUAUAGUGUUUGGCUGUCCUGUAGGAUAUAGAAGAAAAAUAUCUUUAUAUUUUCCACGUGAAGUGCCAUUACAGGAUGAGUAAAGCACAGAGAUGAUUUUAUAUACAGAGAAAUUUUUAAAAAUUAACUUGUUUAAAAAAUUUCAAAUAAUUUAUCUGGGUUGGGAGACCUGAAUUUAUUUAGAGUAGUGAGAUUUUUUUCUUUAAGUCUUCUUGCUUGUGCUUGAAUCUAGGAGGAUGUUCACAAACCAACCGGGAGGAUAUUGAAGAGCCACUAGAGAAAUAGUUGUACCACCCUUGAGAACCACUGCCUCAGAGGACACUUUAACAAAUGCCAGGGGUGAGAGGAUUGGGAGGGAUUGCCUCCUCUGUCUUCUACUUCUACCAGGUCUCAAGGCAAAGAGAGCUCAUUUCUGCUACCUGUCUCGGGGAGGAAAGCAGAGUCUAAGUGGAGUGGAUUGUUAAAUGGAGUGGGUUGUUCCUGGGUUAUUUGCCUUGGUACACAACAGUUUUUGAGCCAAUCUUUGACCUGCACACGUUAAUGUUUAUUGAGUGCCUACUACAGCCCAGAUACCAUGCUUUACACACAGCAAUUUUCCUUUUAAAAUAUUUAUUUGUAUUUAUUUAUUUGGCUAUGCUGGGUC